CAAGCCCCACCCAAGAGGUCACUACAAGUUACAUCUCCAUUCCCCAGCCCCAGUUCCAAAAUGGAGCAGGGGGGUAGGGGGCCGUUCAACUAACCUUGCACCAGGGAUGGGUGGGGAAACAACCCCCCCCCGCCCACUCUGGUGGAAAAAGAUAUAAGAAAUUGAUAAAUGUUAAAAGCAGCUCACUGUAGAGGAGCUGUAUCUCCAGAGCCACCUGAACAAAUGAGGCCAAAUUUACAGCACAAAUUCUGCCUCUUCCCCUGGUGUGAUGCAGCAGUUAUCAAGGCAAUCUGCCUGUGCGUGUGCAUGUGAGAGCAGUCUGAAAAAUAGACUGUAGAGAAAGCUCCACUGAACUUUAAUUAUGGAAGUGCCACCACUUCUUUGGACACCAGCUUCAAACACCACAUAAUUCUUCCUCAUUCACUGUCGCACCAUCAUAUUUGUUGUGUUACCCCCAGCCCCUCUGUUCCACCAAUGACGGUAGUUUUGUCCUUGUUGCCUCUUUGUCCAAACUUCUCCCACGGUCAUCUAUGUGCUUCCUUCCAUGCCAUCCCCUACAUGUGGAAUUGCCCACCCCAUACUAAUGUAGAAGAAGGCACCCCUUGUCCUUGAAGUCUUCCCUCUCAAGACCUACCUUUGCUGCAACACUUCCUUACUUAUUACUUGAUUCUUUUAUCAAUAAGACCUCCGAUAAUCACACUCAGUCACAUUUAUUACCAAAGCUUUUUAGUUAAAGAUUAAUCAGCACAAACAUAGAAGGGAAGAGGUUAAAUGCUUUACCACUCCGACUCAGGAGGACAGUUGCAGCAUAGUCUGCUUCAAAAUGUUAACUCACUAUUACCCAUGUAUGCACCUUCUCUGUUACCUUGGACACAAAUUUCCCAAAUCAGUUAGCAUCAUUAUACACCCUAAUUUUUCUCUUCCCAAACACUUUACACUUGCUGUUCAAGGUUACCUGAAAUUUGUAUCUAGUUUUUUGCAACAAUUAUACUAAUCUGGUCAGGGACCUGGAUUCCGGGUUCACCGUUGCUGAUGCUGUGAAUUGGGCACAGAAAUCCUCUAACAUGGUGGUUCUCUCUCAUCAGAGGGAUUCCGUCUCAUGGACUCUCAUCCUCUCCCCCUGCUGGGGUCU